AUUGAACGCUGGCGGCAUGCUUUACACAUGCAAGUCGGACGAGUGGCGAACGGGUGAGUAAUAUAUUGGAACGUACCGAGUAGUGGGGGAUAACCAAUCGAAAGAUUUGCUAAUACCGCAUAUUAUUCGAGCGGCCCAUAUCUGAUUAGCUAGUUGGUGGGGUAAAGGCCUACCAAGGCGACGAUCAGUAGCGGGUCUGAGAGGAGGAUCCGCCACACGGGGACUGAGACACGGCCCAGACGCCUACGGGAGGCAGCAGUGGGGAAUUUUGGGCAAUGGGCGCAAGCCUGAUGCAGCGACGCCGCGUGGGGGAUGAAGGCCUUCGGGUGGUAAACUCCUUUCGACAGGGACGCGGUACCUGUAUAAGAAGCACCGGCUAACUACGUGCCAGCAGCCGCGGUAAUAC
rnacentral:rRNA from 1 species